GUUCUGCAUGGAGCACUGGGUGUUAUGCACAAACAAUGAAUCAUGGAACACUUCAUCUAAAACUAAUGUUGUAAUGUAUGGGGAUUAACAUAAGAAUAAAAAAAAAAAAGAAGCAGGGAAGGAAGGGAGACAGGGAUGGUAGGGGAAAGAAGGAAAGAAAAUCAGUUGCUCAGGCAAUAGUUUUGGGGCCAGAGGAGGGGUAGAGAUGAAGCUUUUUAGGUUGCCUCCCAUUUCCCUCAGUGAAGUGAGGGCUGGCAAUUUUAGAAGCAGCAGUACCAUGGGGUAAAUUCCUGCAUCUUCCAAGUGGAGGCUGGACAAUGGGCUGGUGUGUGGGCAACAGCAGGCCAGGAUGUAGAUGCUAAGAGCACAAGGCUCUGGAGCCUGGCAUGUAAGGUUCAGAUCCUGCCUCUGUAGUGCAGGGACUGUGUGAGCCUCGGGAGGUGGCUUCAUUGCCUAAGCCUGGUUUCUCAUCUGUAAUGUGCAGGUCCUAAACACCUGUCUGUUUCGUUUUCUAGUGCCUCCAUAACAAAUGACCACAAACCAGGGGCCUUAACACAAUAGAAAUCUAUUCUCUCACAGCUUAAGAGGUCUGAAGUCCAAAAUCAGCAGGGCCAUGCUGCCCUCAGAGGCCCUAGGGAGGAUCCUUCCUCACCUUUUCUAGUUUCAGGUAGCUCGUAGCAUUCUUUGGCUUGUAGCUCUGUCAUUCCAGUCUGUGCCUCGCCUUCUCAUGGCUUUCCUGUGUGUCUGUGUGUCCUUUCCUGUCUCUUAUAAGGACACUUGUCAUUGUUAGGGCCCACCCUAAUUCAAUAUGAUCUCAUCUUGAUCCUUACUUUAAUUAUAUCUGCAUAGACCCUAUUUCCAAAUAAGGUCACAUUGUGAGGUUCCAGGUGGACAUGAAUUGGGGGGGACACUAGUCAACCCAGUGUGCUACCUCAUAGAGCUCUGAGGUCACAGCCUGCAAAGCACACAGCAAGGUUUAGAGAGCGCUGUGAGGUAGAGGUGGGAAGCCCAGCUAUUAUGAGCCCCACUUGCUAGAUGUGAAAACUGAGGCUUUAGGGAAACUUUGGGUCCCACUGCUAGUAAGUGGCAGAAGAAGCAGAGGAAUUGCUUAUUCUAUGAAGGCCAUUCAACAUCUGUAUUUUGGGCGUCUUUAUGCCAGCUCAUGGUUUGGUGGAAAAAUUAGUUCAUCAUCCUCUUCAUCAUCAUUGCCAUGACAGGCUGGGCAGUCAAUGUAGUGAAACCCUUUGAGAAGAGGGAGGGUACCUGCCCCAGGAGGGCUUGUGAGAGGAAGUACUGUCUUAGCCAAAAUAGAGGGGUACUGAGGAAUCAGCAAGGGAAACUGUGAAAGACAGGAGUUAGGAUAGUUUUCAAUGGCAUGCGCAAAGGCCUGGAGGCCACCCUGGGCUUCUGUGUGGGCCUGGGCUGGUCAACGACACAGAGUCAGUAGACCUUCAGCUAUGUAUUUAUGAAAUGAGGGGCACCUGGGUGGCUCAGUCAGUUAAGCAUCCGACUCUUGAUUUUAGCUCAGGUCAUGAUCUCAGGGUUGUGGGAUGGAGCCCCAUGUGGGGCUCUGCACUUAAAGCAGAGUCUGCUUGAGAUUAUCUCCCUCUCCCUCUGUCCCUUCCCCUGCUCACACUCGCUCGCUCUCUCUCAAAUAAAUAAAUAUUUAAAGAUUUUAUUUAUUUAUUUGACAGAGAGAGAGGGAGAGCAGGAACACAAGCAGGGGGAGUGGGAGAGGGAGAAGCAGGCCUCCUACAGAGCAGGGAGCCUGAUGCAGGCCUCGAUCCCAGGACCCUGGGAUCAUGACCUAAGCGGAAGGCAGACACUCAACAACUGAGCCACCCAGGUGCCCCAAUAAAUAAAAUCUUUUAAAAAAGUAUUUAUGAAAUGAAUUACAGAUGGGGAAACAAAGGCACCAAGGUACUUCAAGUCCCAUAGCAAAUACUGGCAGAGCUAAGACAUGAACUCAACUCCCCUAUCUCCCUAUCUAGGUCUCUUCCUGUCUGCCCCAGGUACUGGGUGCUGCAGAAACAGCUUCCUUCCUCCAUGCUAAGCUGCAUCCUGGCCUUGGUCAGACAACAGAGGAGUCAGGUGGAGCUGGGAUAGAAGCACAGACCUUUGGGUUCCACAGCCGAGACUGCACCGAUUAAGGUACCAACUCUGAAUGUGACCAAAUGCUCCGGUCCAAAGAGGAGGCCAACUCUCUUAGGAAUCUUCCUGCUAAGAGCAAAAAGACCACAGGCAACAGGAUCUAGAAUCAUCCAAUGUGACUGGACUGGAGCAGUGGUGUCAGAACCAUGCAGUGGAGUCAGGCUCCUUCCCCAAGGGGCUUUGGAAGCUUGGGUAGCUAUGUGGGGGACAAGCGGUUCCCUCACAGAAAGUGUGGACAAAGAUACCACGUUCAGACCAGAAGUCCGAACUCAAGAUGUCAGCAGGGCCUCUUGGGGAGAGUGCUUCUUGGCCUAGUUUGCCAGCAAGCCUUGGCAUUCCGUGAUCCCACAGGAAGCCCCUUCUGCAAAAAGGGUGAAAAUAAAUCUCACCUCGUGAAGUCGUUCUCCGGAUUCCAUGGGACUGUACCUUGCACAGUGCCUGGCACGCGAGGUGCUCUCUUGCCGUGCCUCCCUCUGCCUGCCUCCCCAGGCUGCCACUCCCUGCCGCAGGAGGACCGCGGAGCCACCGUGAGGCCUGAGGGAAUGGACAGUCUGGCUUCUUGGGCGGUGGAGCUCCCAGCCUUUUCCAGGCCCCGGGCCCUGUAUGAUGUCAGCCACGGAACGUCACCAACACGUGGAUCUUUCCAAUCAGCCCUUCUCCCGUUAAAUAGGCAUUUUUAUAUUUUCAUUGGACAUACAUUAGUUACGGAGAAUUUUUACAGCCCAUGUUUUAGAGCGUGGCGGUCUGGGCUGUAAAGAUAUAAUCGGCUCUGAUAGGAGACGGUUUCUCUGGCGCUAAAGGGGGGCUGGCGUGGCGGCGGCGUGAUUGGAGCUCUAAGUGUCUGAAAUGACUGUUGCUAAGUCCCCAGAGCCACAAGUCAAUCAACCGCGCCAAACGGGAAACUCAACAGUGAGUGUUAAAAAGAGGGGGGAUGAUGAAAAUGAAAAAAGAAAAACAUUCAAGAGGGAAUUGAAUUUUGGAGUCACUUGAUGGAAGUUUUAAAAAUGAACAGUAACAGCCCCCCAAAAGUGCAUCUUCUCUACCCGGCUGAAGAAGAGAGGUUUGCUUUCUGGGAUUCUGGAAGACUCUUUCAAAGUUACUUCUUUCUUCUUUUCUUUCCCUCUGUCCCUCCCUUUUUCCCCAUGAAUGUUUCCUGAGCACCUACUAUGUCAGGUACUGCGUGAGUCACUGGGGAUAUAACAGUGAAUAAGGCAGAUGGUGUCCCUGCUCUUCUGGAGUUUAUACAUUUCGCACACAUACCAGAGGACGCAUGGAACAAUUUCCUGUUGCCCCAGCAACGAUGACCAAGGCCAAAGCUAUAGGCAAAAGCAUCAAAUACCCCACAUUCUUUUUUUUUUAAAUCCCACAGAGGUUGUCCCAUGAUGGGGCCCCCGAGGACUGCAGACCUGUACCCACCCAGGGGUGCAAGGCAUGGCUGGGGAACAUCUUUCCAGGGUUCUACUCCCAACGUGGGGCUUGAACUCACAACCCAUGCUCCACUGACUGAAGCAGCCAGGUACCCCAGGUAUCCCACAUUCUAAAGAGCUCAGUUAGAAUUCGGGCCAGAAACACCCUCAGGGCUUAUAAAAGACAGUCCAGCAAUUUCUGUUAUUCCAACUGUAACCCCCAGCCCCACCGCCAGCCCCUAUCCCCUUGUCCUGUCUCCAGAAGCAGAAAACCAUGAGAGACAGAGGAGAGAGGUACUGGACUGCCAGUUGUCAGCCCCGGAGGUGGGGGUGGGGGGUGAUUGUCUCCUCCCUAUGGGGGAGGAUGGGGGACCUCCAAAGGGAGCAUUUGCAGAGAUGGGGACCACCCGAAGGGCAGAUGAGCAUCUCUGCCACCUGGGGGGCUCUGCUUAUGCAGUCACCUGGCCUCUCCGCCCUGGACCAGAUGUGGGUGGCCAGGGAGGGGCUGCACAGAGGAGGAGGCUGGCCAGAGCUGUCUGCGAGGACAAGGACUCAGAGGCAGCAGGAGGUCUGAGGUGGGCUGCCGGGGUGGGAGCUGAGGGAUGGAAGGGGCAGAGCCACAGAGGUUGUCCUAUGAUGGGGCCCCUGAGGACUGCAGACCUGUACCCACCCAGGGGAGCAAGGCAUGGCUGGGGAGCAUCUUUACACACUUUCCUCUUCCUGGCCCACUUCCCCUGGAGGCUGUCUCUGCCUGCCCCCUUUCCCUGCCCCCCACACCAACCAGGCUGGGUCAGGGCCUUCCUCUGGGCUCUCCUGGCCCCCAGGGUUCCUACCACCGCAGCACCAGCCCCUCUGGCCUGUCCCUGUCUAGGGUGCGUCUGUCUCUGGCGCCAGCAAGGCUUUUGUCGUCUUUGCCACAGCAUCCGGCACAAAGUGGGAAACAGCAGGCGCUCACUGUGUGCUUGUGGGAGGCACCUUUUUGGAGGAGCAUUGAGUUGAGGGCAGCUGCUGGCUCAGGGACCCCAGGGCUGGAGGGACCUGUCCUCUCCCUGCCUCUUUAUUAUCCUUUCUGUCCUUUUCCUGCCCAACUCCAGCCUGGCUUUCACUUUACCACCAAAUAAAUAAAUCUUCGUCUUCAUGGAGAGAUUUCCUCUGGGCAGUGCUCUAAGAACUGGAAAUGCUCCCAGCCUACGAGCCACCGGGAGGAGACUUCUUGAGGCUAGGCUGGGCCCCUGUUGGAAGGGGCACCCCCGGCCUUUGCGAAUGCUGUGCUCUCUGUCCUGCUGACUCUUCCUUCCCUGCUGCUGAGUACCUUCUCCCCUUCUAGGCCUGUCUCUCCAGGAAGACUUCUUCAGCCUCUCUGGCUAUGGUAGGGUUUCUUCUGGAACGCAAGCCGGUAAGUGUCCUUCAUCCCCGUGUCAUCAAAACAGGAUUUAAUCAUCUGUAUCUGUGUCUUUUUCACCAGAUCGGGUGCUGAGGGCAGGAUCGCAGUCUGACUCAGUGCCGUGUUCCCAGCACACAUGUUUUUGAACAGAGUUGCUGAUUGGUCGGACCAGGCUCGAAGGUGUUACAGAGGGGAUAUACAAAGGAUCUGGAGAUGUAGUGGGUGUGGGUGUUGGGGAUGCGGACACAAGGUAGAGAAAGGGAGAGAGGGAAGGGCAUGCCAGGGAGAGGGCACAGCAUGGGCAAAGGCACGGUGGCAGGCACUAGCUGGGAGAUGCAUGGCUCUUGUGUAGCUCUAAGCUCCCAAGUAGGGAGUGAUGAGUGAUGAGAUUGGAAAGGUCCUGGAGGGUGUUGAUGCCAGGUGAGGAGUGUGGAUGUUGUCCUGAAACCCGUGGAGCCCCUGAAGGCUUGGAGCAGUGGGAGGGACCAGAUUGCACAUUGUGUUUGGAAAGCUCACUUCAGUUGUGCAAAGACCAGAGGGGAGGUGAGUGAUGGUGGGCCCUCUACUGGGGUAGGGGCAGCAGAUGUGGAGAACAGGGGACAGACCUGAAGGAGGUUCCAGAGGUAGGAUCAGGGGUGUUGGAUGUUGGAAUCGGAGGAGAGGCCAGCACGGCACCCAGACUGGGAUUUGGGGGCAGGGGGUGGGGAGCAGCUGUGGCCAAUGUUGAGUUCCCUGAGUGGGGGAUGGGACGUGAGAGGAGAUAUUCAAGAGGCCACAGAUUUGGAUUCAGAAAUAUUUCAAAUAAAAAACAAGGUCGGGGGGCGCCUGGGUGGCUCAGUCGUUAAGCGUCUGCCUUCGGCUCAGGUCAUGAUCCCAGGGUCCUGGGAUCGAGCCCCACGUCGGGCUCUCUGCUCAGCGGGAAGCCUGCUUCUCCCUCUCCCACUCGCCCUGCUUGUGUUCCCUCUCUCGCUGUGUCUCUCUCUCUGUCAAAUAAAUAAAUAAAAUCUUUAAAAAAAAAAAAAAGGAUGGACAUUAUAUAGCAGUCAAUUAUGGGCUCUUUUUCCCACUUAAAUUACAUUAAAAACAACAACAACAACCAACCACCUCCCCGUACUCCCCCUGCCACCUUCAUCCCACUCCCCAGACAGUGACUGGUGCUUGCUCCAAACGGGAUGUUCAGUUUGCUGUAGAAUGAGUGAUAUAAACCCGGUCCUCCCCACCUCCGUGGAGGGUUAGCUCACUGCUGCGCUUUAGAAUGAACUCUUGUGAAAACAGGAAGAGCUUGGGCCCAUGUCCCUGGGAGUGCACCUGGGAGGCCCCUCGAGCCAGGGAAGAUGGGACAAGUUGGGAGGGGUGCGCCAUUUUACAGAGGUAGAGACUAGGGAUGUGAGAGGUCACUUGGCUAAGGCCAUGAAGCUACUAAGUACCUGAUUUCCCCCAUCUGCCCCUUCAGGCCCUGCAUAACCCACUUGGUCUUCUGUGAGCCUACAGCUCCCGCUCAGAGCAGGUGGCCAACCCUGUGUCUUUGCUGCAAGUGAGGGAGUGAGCUUUCAAUGAAGAAUAGUGUCCUUCAUCUUGUUCCCUACAUUUUACGCCACCAUGUAAAAUUUUCCAUUAAUUCCUCAGAAUAAAAUGUAGUGGCUGUUAAUUUUUGACACCUGGGAAGUAGCCUGCUGAAUGCUUUUUUUAUGCCUGAAACUAUUUUCCACCAUUAGAAUAGUGUGAUAAAAAGUUUCCUUUCUUUCUUUGAUUUUAUUUUUUAAUUAGACCAAAGGGUUUUUGUGGCUCAGUCAGAGCUAUUGCCAGCAGCUGGGAGCCCAGAAAGUAGCAAAGAAAGGACACAAACAUUGUCACUGCUCACAUGCCAUCUCCAUGGCCAGGCCUUGCCUCUCUGAAGACCAGGAGGGUCAAGGUCCUGCUCGAAUCAGAGUAAAACCCAAAGCUUCAUUGCUUUUCCAGAAAGGCCAUUUGUGAGAGGUAACAUGGGGCUGUGAGAAGCUUCUCUUCUUUGCUUAUUAAUUUUUCUUCUUUAGAGCUUCCUUUUGGAUUGAUCAAGUUUUCUUUUCUUUUUUUUAGUAAUCUCUACACCCAAAGUGGGGUUGAACUUACCACCCUGAGAUCAAGAGUAGCAUGUUCUUCCAACAGCUAGCUUCCUGAGCCAUCCAGGUGCUAUUGGACUGAUCAGGUUUUCUUUAGCUAAUUUCAUCUAUUUGUUUGGAAGGUAUAAAUAUUAUUUUUAUUUUGUUUCAGGUAUUUUUUGCAGCAUGACAAACCAUUCCACCUGAAUGGCUUAAAACAAAAAUUUUUUUAUCAAUUCUACUUCAUGUGACUGGGGCAUUGAGAGAGCAAAAGGGUCUAAAAAAAGCCUUCUUAAUACAACUGGCAAUUCGUGCUGGCCGCUAGCUGGGAGCUUAGUUGGAGCUGUUGGUUGGGGACCUUGGUUCUCCUCUUCAGCCUUUCCACAUGGCUGCUUGAACCUCUGCAUAGUGUGGCGACUGGAUUUCAAGAAGGAGCGUUCCAAUAGCUGGAGUCAUAAGCUGUAGGCAUCUUAAAGCCCAGCCUUCAAUAUUACACAGCAUCAUUUCAUUUUUUCAGAUAAAAAAAAAAAACAGAUCCAAGGGGUAUGAUGGGACGAGUGACAAAGGAUUUGUGGCCAUCUUUAAUUUUGAUCAAUCUAAACAUCAUAGAAGCUGCACUUGAAUUUCCUACUUGUAUUUAACUACAUGGAUGCUAACAAAAUCUAAAGUUGUUAAAAAGAAAAUCUCAAAAUGCAUUGCCUUCCUUCUCAAUGCCUUUUUGCCAACUCUUUUGUUAUUGUUGUUUAGGAUUUUAGUUCCAUGUUAUUUAUAAAACCUGACUUUUUCAGUAUUUUUUUUAAGUAAUCUCUACACCCAACGUGCGGCUUGAACUCAAGACACCAAGAUCAAAAGUCGGAUGCUCUUCUGCCUGAGUCAGCUAGGUUCCUCCUUUUUUUUUUUUUUUUUUUAAAGAUUUUAUUUAUUUAUUUGAGAGAGAGAGAAUGAGAGAGAGAGCACAUGAGAGGGGGGAGGGUCAGAGGGAGGAGCAGACUCCCUGCAGAGCAGGGAGCCCGAUGCAGGACUCGAUCCCGGGACUCCAGGAUCAUGACCUGAGCCGAAGGCAGUCGCCCAACCAACUGAGCCACCCAGGCGCCCUGAGGUUCCUCCUUAGUAUUAGUUUUUUACCUUUUUUACCAAAAGCUUUGAUGACCACUGCACCUUGCAUUCCAUUUCUCCCUUGUGAGUUCAUUUUUUUUCUUGUUGAUUUGCACUCUUUAAUAGUUCUUUCAGUGACAGCCUGUGAGUAGUAAACUCUAUGAAUCUUUUUUUUAAGUUUAUUUUUUUAGUAAUCUCUACAUGCAACGUGGGGCUCAAACCCUUGACCCCGAUGUGAGAGGUCACUUGAGAGAUCAAGAUUCACACAUUCUUCUGACUGACCCAGCCAGGCACCCCUGAGCCCUAGUAAUCUUGGUGUCUGGAAGGAUCUUUACUUUGGUCUCACUCUGUAAUGACAGUUUAGUUAAGUAAAGAAUUCUAGGCUGACAAGUAUUGUUUCACUGUGUUUAGAGAUAUUAUUCCACUUUUUUUCUGGCUCCUAUUGUUGCCAAUUGGAAGUCUGCUUAUUUGUCUAAUUGUUUUUUUGAACGGAAUUUCCGCCCCCCCGCCCCCGCAACUUUAAAGACUUUGUUUUUAUUCUUAUUGUUGUUCACUGCAAAAGUGUGGAUUUGUUUGUAUUUAUCCCACUUUGAACUCUAUGAGGACUCAGAUCUUUCUUCAGUUCUGGAAAAUUCUUAGACUUUCAUAUAUUGCCUUUCUCAUGCUUUCCUUUUAUUUUUUUUAAGAUUUUAUUUAUUUAUUUGACAGAGAGAUAGAGAGCACAAGUAGGCAGAGCAGCAGGUAGAGGGAGAGAGAAAAGCAGGCUCUCCACUGAGCAGGGAGCCUGAAGUGGGGCUCUAUCCCAGGACCCUGGGAUCAUGACCUGAGCCGAAGGCAGAUGCUUAACCGUCUAAGCCACCCAGGUGCCCCUCCCAUGCUUUCUUUAUUGUCUUUUAUUGGAAUUCCUAUUAGAUGUAUGAUGGAUCAUCUCAUUUCAUCCUCCAUCUUAACUUUUGUUUUAUAUUUCACAUCUUUGUCUCUCUGCGUGUUAUAUUCCAGGUGAUAGCCUUGGAAUAUCUAGAUCUUCUAGGCAACAGCUAUGUCAAACCCAUCUAUUGAGUUUAUUUUAAUUUCAGUUUAUCUUGGAUGACUUUUUUCCUUCCAUGGCCCAGGGUAGGAGACUCACUUCUACACUGCCAUCCAGAGUUAUUGGGCAGUUUUUAUCCAGUUUUCAUUCAAAGAAGAAAUAGCUCAUUUCCAACUUCUUCUUUAUGGAGGCAGCCUAGCUCUAGCUCCAGUCUCUCACAGGGUCUCGAACCUCAUCUUCUGUGCUCCUAGAGGCAUUAAAACCCCAACUCUUUCCAACCAGAAGUUCAGAUAUGGCAGCCCCAAGCUGGUGUGAUGGCUCCAUGAAGCUGCCAGAGGCUAAGACACCUUUGAUUUUCCCACUCCAUCACCCUCAGGGUAUGGCGUUCACCCUCCUUGUUGUACUUGCAGGCAUCUCAUCUUUGAAAUACCCCCAUAGCUUCUGUCGUUUGUCCAGAACCUGGUCACAUGGCGACCACAAGCUGCAAAGAAAAGCUGAAGAGUGGGUUUUUUGGUGGUACCUUUCCUUCCCACCAUGCAACAGUUGUGGUUCUCUUAGUAAGGUAGUAGAGCAAGUAGGUCUGGAGCUAGUAACUUGUAACAUCUGCCACACAGAAUGUUAUCCUCGUUUAGGGGAAGAAGUGAUAGCUCAGAGAGGGGUGGUGAUUUACAGACUCCACUACACUGAGCCCAUGUUCUUCCUGCUCAGCCCCACCACCAUCUCCCUGCUCUGACUCAGGGACUCUGGCCCGGAUCUCAGCUGCUGGACUUUCCCUCAGUCUCAGUCUCAGUGCACUGACCUUGCAUGAUGGAUGACCCGGCGGCCUCCUAAAGCACCGAGUUUUGUUGGUUCCCAAACCUUACAGGAGCAGCAGGGCCCGGGGAGCUGGGUGCAGGGAAGCUGAACAGAACCCCAUCUGUCCUCCCCCAGCUCUUGUUCAGGCAGGCAUUUGUCAGCCACUGCAAGAGGGCAGCCUCAAUCACUUCUUUCAGCAGUUAGGGGGCUGCACACAGGCAGAAUAAUGACUGGCCCCUGAAGAGGGAGUGGGGGCUUAUCAGGGGCCAGCAUGGCUAGGUGAAGCUCAGGGUCUGACAUCCACAUCUCUUCUGAAGGGAAAGGAGCUGGCUGACAACUCCCUGCCCCACAGUGGAGGCCUCCUUAGCUCUGCCUUCUGGUUUUCCUCUCCUCAACAUACCCCUCUCUCACUGUCCCUCCACCCCACCAACUCUCCCCAACCGACCGAGAUCUCGGCCCUGGAUCAGUGGCCAUGUGCUCUGCUUGGACGACCACACCUGCCUCCUUGGUGCUGCUCUCCUAGCUCUAGCCUUGCCCCCUCUAAACCACGCUCCACACUGGCUGCUUACAAGUCUGGUCAUGUCACACAUGUCUCUAUCCUCUGCUUUUAUAUCCUUCUAUGGCUCCCUACUAUCUGCAAAAUAAAUAGCAGACUCAGCCUUGCCAACCUUAGCUCCCAUUCCUCAUCCUCUGUCUCUUGCUGUGUUUGCUAUUUAAUUUUUUAGAAUGGAUUAUUGUGAUAUUAUGACUUAUAAUAAGAAAUAUAUAUUUGAUCCUCAUCCCAUUGCUGGCACAGAGCUCCUAAAACUCUUGGAAUUUCUGAAAUUAUAAGAGGGAUAAAGGUGUCUUCUAUUAUUCAAACCCCUUUCAGCAACACCUGAGUUUAUUGUAUUAAUGAGGUCACUCUUUGGAAAGUUCUGCAGGAUGGGGCUGCCCACCAGAAAGACCAAGUGAUUAGAGGGUUAGAACGUUCAGUUCCACACAUCGACCUCUGGGAAGGGGUUGGGGCUGGAAGCUAGGCUCUAUGAAAAUUCUUUUUUUUUUUUUUAAGAUUUUAUUUAUUUAUUUGACAGAGAGAGACACAGCAAGAGAGGGAACACAAGCAGGGGGAGUGGGAGAGGGAGAAGCAGGCUUCCCUCCAAGCAGGGAGCCCAAUGUGGGGCUCCAUCCCAGGACCCUGAGAUCAUGAUCUGAGCCAAAGGCAGACACUUAACGACUGAGCCACCCAGGUGCCCCCUCUAUGAAAAUUCUUGAACAACUCGAUUUGAUGAGCUUCCAAGUUGGUGAACGUAUCCAUCAGAAAGGGGACACAUCCCACUUCCAUGGGGACAGAAGUUCCUGCACUCAGGACCCUUCUGGACCUCACUCUUUGUAUUUCCUCAUCAGGCUCUUCAUCUCUAUCCUUCAUAAUAUCCUUCACAAUAAGCUGGUAAAUGUGAGCAAAUGUUUCUCUGAGCCGCUCUAGCAAAUCCACUGGACCCAGGGAAGGAGUUGUGGAAACUUCCUAUUAUAGCUGAAGAGGGAGCAGUCUUGUGGGACUGAGCCCUCAACCUGUGGGAUCUGAUGCUAUCUCCAGGCAGGUGGUGUCAGAGUUGAGCUAAAUUGUCAGACACCCAUUCAGUGUCCACUGAGAUUGGAGAAUUCCUAGGUGGUACUGGGCAAAACCCUCCAGAGUCACAUGAUCACUGGUUUCAAAAAUCAAACUAGUCACACAGUGGAAAAAAAAAACACUAGUCACACAGUCUCACCUCCACGUUUCUCUCAACUGUUCACUUCUCAUCACCCACCACAUUUCUUAGUUCCUUGUGUCUCCUUACAGAGUUUCUUUAUGUAAGUGUAAGCAUUUUCUAGGUACAUCUUCUAGGGCCGGAAACCUCCCACAACCUUGCUACUCAGACGCUGGGGUGCAGGUUGCUCCACGUGUCUCCUCUCUCUGCCUGGUCAUCCCUCCCCAGUUCUUCUCCCACUGAGAGUCACCAGGAAUGGGUGAGCCUAAGCAGACAUCUAAUAAGAAUAAGGUGCUGGUCUGUCCUUCUAAGUGGCACCCCCAACUUCUGAGAUUUCUCUUGGAGUCCCCUUCAUUUGGCUUGAACUGGUGGACUGGGAGUCCCCCUCCUUUUCCAGGGGAGGGAAAGCCAUAAUACCAUCUGCCCCCUCCUCCUUAGAUAAAACACCCAACUCCAAAGACCACUCCCCCCUCACCUGUGUAUUCAGAGAAGGACACUUGGGGAGCAAAAGAGCCAGUCUGGCUGCCCCUUAGUAGAUCCAAAGGUGUCCCCUUCUCUAGCUUGGUGGGAUCUUGAAAAAGGAGUUUGGUACCUAUUCAUCUUCUGUCCUGGGUCCCAUUGCUGAUUCUGAAGCAACAGGGAAAAUUCACACUUUACAACCCAAGACAUCUGUCCCUCUGUCCAUCCGAUAUAACUUGAAGACCCAAGACCAGAUGAAGGGCUAAGAGUGUGGGACAAACUACUGAGAAAUCCACAUUCCUUGAUGUGUCCUCUGUGCUGCUGGGGGUCACUACAGACCCCCAGGAUCCUCCCCCUGUGAGCUCCAUGAGUGUCUUGUAUCCACAGGACUGGCCUGGGAUCUGGCACAUGGUAGAUGCGGAAUAAAUACCUGCUGGGAGGGUGACUGCAGUGGCUUUCAUGGCUGUCUGGGAGCUUACCUUAUGCCUCUUCAAUUUGUCAGAGUCUGCCUUCUGUUAAUGUUAUACUUCUUUACAUGUAUAAGGGCCCAAGAGCACUGUGCUCUGAACUCUUCCCUGCCAUCCUUUGUGGUAUACUGUCAUGCAUUUUAUUUUAUUUUAAAGAUUUUAUUUAUUUAUUUAUUUGACAGAGAGAUAGUGAGAGCAGGAACACAAGCAGGGGCAGUGGGAGAGGGAGAAGCAGGCUUCCCGCGGAGCAGGGAGCCCGAUGCAGGGCUCGAUCCCAGGACCCUGGGAUCAUGACCUGAGCCGAAGGCAGAUGCUUAACGACUGAGCCAUCCAGGCUCCCCCAUGCAUUUUAUUUUUACAAGUACUGCAAACACACAAUGUAUUUCUACUGUUUUGCUUUAGACAGUCAAAAAUAUCUUGUAGAGUAAUUAAAAAUAUGAGACAAUUUUUUUAUUGUCUUAUUUUUAUUUUUAAUGGAAGUACAGUUGACAUAUUAGUUCCAGCUGUACAAUACAGUGAUUCAACAAAUUACGUCCAUUACAAGAUGUUCAUCAUGGUAAGUGUAGUUACCAUCUGUCACCAUUCAAACUUACUACAAUCUUAUUGACUAUAUUCCCCAUGCUGUACUUAAAACAAUCAAUUUUACAUUUGCCUUCAUUUAUGCCAUUUCUAGCAUUUCUUGUUUCUUUGCAUCAGUGUAAGUUUCUUUGUGGUAUCAUAUUUCUUCUUCCUGAAGAACUUCCUUUAAUACAUCUUAUAGUGCAGGUCUACUGGUAAUUAAUUCUCUGAUGUUGUUUAACUGAAGAGGUCUUAUAUUUAUUGCUUACUUUUGAAAGACAUUUCCUCUGGGCAUACAACUUUGGAUUGACAGGGUUUUUUUGUGGGGUUUUUUUUGUUUGUUUGUUUGUUUGUUGCUGUUGGCACUUUAAAUAUGUCACUCCAUUCCAAACUUUAAAGUUGGAAGCUUCUUUCACCACUUUAUUUUUUUAAAAAGAUUUUAUUUAUUUAUUUAUUUUAUUUAUUUAUUUUUAAAGAUUUUAUUUAUUUAUUUGAGAGAGAGAGAAUGAGAGAGAGCACAUGAGAGGGGGGAGGGUCAGAGGGAGAAGCAGGCUCCCUGCAGAGCAGGGAGCCCGAUGCGGGACUCGAUCCCAGGACUCCAGGAUCAUGACCUGAGCCGAAGGCAGUCGCUUAACCAACUGAGCCACCCAGGCGCCCAAAGAUUUUAUUUAUUUAUGAGAGAGAGAGAGAGCACGAGAGAGCAGGUGGAGGAGUAGAGGGAGAGGACAAGGAGAUUGUACAAUGAGUGCGAAGCCGGACGCGUGCUUGAUCCCAGGACACUGAGGUCAUGACCCGAGCUGAAACCAAGAGUCAGACACUUAACUGACUGAGCCACCCAGGUGCCUCCUCUUUCAGCACUUUAAAGAUAUCUUCUGCUUUGCAUAAUUGGUUUUUUUAAGAUUUUAUUUAGAGAGAGAGAGUGGGUGAGCAUGUGAGCAGGGGAGGAGCAGAGGGAGAGGGGAGAGAAUCUCAAGCAGGCUCUGUGCUGAGCAUGGGGCCUGACGUGGGUCCCACGUGGGGCUCCGCACGGGGCUCGAUCUCAUGACACUGAGAUCAUGACCCAAACGAAAAUCAAGAGUCAGACACAGCACCCCUGCUUUGCAUAGUUUCUGAUGAGAAGUCCACUAUAAUUCGUCUCUUGAUACUAUGUUAUUUCUCUUGCUUCUUGUGUGUCUUCUAAUUUUUUGUUGAAAGCUGGAUGUCUUGUGUAGGGCAGUAGAGAUUGAAGUAAAUAGUACUUAUGCCUGAAAAUGGUCAUGCCUUUUCCUUUGCCAGGCUUUAGCAUGGGGUUGGAUUGAUAUGGACAGGAGUUGAGCUGGGUUUGGGUUUUGUUGUUCCAAGGAUUCCUGUCAGUGCAUCACACUCUUCAAAUUCCUCUAGCACUGCUUUGUGUUCAGGGUGGGAGCUGGGUCGCUGGAGGGUAUUUUCCCCAGUGGUCCUGUUUCACCCCAAGCUGUAGAUUUUGCCUAUGAUCCUGCACCAUAAAGAGGUUCCUCCUGUGUUCUCCUGCCCUCCUCCAGCAGUAGACAGCUGUUACCUAUUCCUGGGUAUUUGCUAGUCUGGGGGUAGAAGGUGUCGGAGUUGCUCUCUGUUGUGAAGGUUCUGUUAAAGUCUUAGGCAGGUGCUCUGAGACCGGGGGACUUAGGGAUCCAGCCCUCUCUCACUGAUAAAGGGAUUUUUCUAUGCUUUUCCCCCAGCUGCAAUGGGCACUGAGGGCCAGGAGUCUUGCUGUCCCUUCCCCAGAGUCUAUGGCCUUCCUUCCAGCAGUGGCCGCUGUUUCCUCCGCUAGGCCUGCACCCCAAGGUGGGCUUUCUCUCUCACCCCCAGUCUCCCUCCCCCAGACCCAGUGCAGUCUACAGAGAAGAGCCUGUUGGGGGUACAAAUUUCCCCUUAGUUGGCUGCUUUCAGGGGAUCCACACCCCCAUACCAGCCCACACUCAGCCUUGGCAGCUUUUUAAAAAUUUAUUUCAAUUCUUACCGGUUUAUUGGUAUCAGCCCUGAGUAAGCAAAGGCUCUUGUCCCAUCUUCCUUGCAGGUGCCUGUGUCUCUUUAGAUUUACUUGUUUAUUUAUUUGAGAGAGAGACACAGAGAGAGCACGACCAGGGGGAGGAGCAGAGGGGGAGGGAGAAAGAAUCUCAAGCAGACUCCAUGCUGAGCGCGGAGCCCCAGCUGGGCUCUAUGUCUCCACCCUGAGAUCAUGACCGCAGCCGAAUCCAAGAGUUGGACACUUAACCAUCCCGGGGCGUGAUGCCUGUGUCUCUUUAGAUUUCAGGCCAGUUGUUUGCCCUGUGAUCUCAGCUCUCUGAUAGGUACAAGAAAAGUUAAAAAGUCACAGAUUAUCUGGGUUUUUCUUGUGGCAAAGGUGGAAGUGAUACUCUUUCCAGCUUUCUACAUCCUAGGAGGAACCUGGAAGAAAACUGAACAGUUUUAAACGUGUCCAUACCUUCUCUGAAGGCAACAGGAAUAACUCUGCAUAGCUUCUGAGGCUG